AUGAGGAGGCCGAGCCGCCACCUGCUGCCGGCCUUCGGGCCGUCUUGCUCGACCACGCCCAGGGCGCGCCGCCGGCGAGGCCUCCUGCUCCGACCCCGCAGAGGGCGCACAAACGACCGGGGCAGAGGGGGAAACCCAGGCGGAGCACGCCAUCUCCGUCGACCGGAGGAGCACCAGGUAUUUAACUCAAGUAGGCAAGGCCGUGAGAGGGAGAUAGAAGGAGAAGCAGAGGCAGAAGCAAGAGGAAGGAGAACCUCGAGGUGCUGCGGCGCUCGGGCAUUGGUCGACUACGCCGCCCCUUCGCUCUCGCGCCGCCAGGGCCCUCUUGCUCUCAGGACAAGCUUGGCUGAUUUCCUGGUCCUGCUACGAUUGGUUCUGGAUCUGACCGCACACCUCCCGUCUGUCGCCGCCGUUUGCUCGCUCGCCGCCAUCAGAAAGAUUGCCUUAACGCAGAAGGAGAGUCUCACUGCCACUGCUGGAGCACAUAAACCACCCUUUUGUCUCAGUUUCGAUUUGAAAACCACUCAUACUGUCCCAAAUAUGUCUCCGAAUAUGGAAGCUAUAUAUCACCAAGUACAAUUCCGAGUUUCCAGUGCAAGCAUAAAGACCUCAGUUUGUGUAUUCCAUCCUGUACAGAUAACUGGAGAUUUAUACUGUCAUUUGAUUAGCCCCUGGUGUGGAAUCAGAAGGUCACACAUUUGUUUUUGA
rnacentral:rRNA from 1 species